rnacentral:lncRNA from 12 species
UUUUGAUAGAGAUUUUGACUUUGCAGAUUUUCGUGCAGUGUGUCGCAGGGUGGCUCUUGGGAGUGAUCUUGUGACACUGCUGAAAUUGGAUUAUUUCCAGUGGCCAAAAUGGAAUUCUCUCUAAUGAGCUUUUCAGAACCAUGGAGAGACUGCACAGAUUCCUCACUGUUUGUAAUAUGCAGUGGUCUUGCAGGAAUAUUCAGCAUUGCCUUCCAUGGUUGCUGAGGG